rnacentral:rRNA from 1 species
AACGAACGCUGGCGGCAUGCCUAACACAUGCAAGUCGAACGAGACCUUCGGGUCUAGUGGCGCACGGGUGCGUAACGCGUGGGAAUCUGCCCUUCGGUUGGGAAUAACUGAGAGAAAUUUCAGCUAAUACCUUAUAAUGUCUUCGGACCAAAGAUUUAUCGCCGAGGGAUGAGCCCGCGUAGGAUUAGCUAGUUGGUGGGGUAAUGGCCUACCAAGGCGACGACCCUUAGCUGGUCUGAGAGGAUGAUCAGCCACACUGGGACUGAGACACGGCCCAGACUCCUACGGGAGGCAGCAGUGGGGAAUAUUGGACAAUGGGCGAAAGCUUGAUCCAGCAAUGCCGCGUGAGUGAUGAAGGCCUUAGGGUUGUAAAGCUCUUUUACCCGGGAUGAUAAUGACAGUACCGGGAGAAUAAGCUCCGGCUAACUCCGUGCCAGCAGCCGCAGUAA